UCGAGCGGAUCUCGAGGGGCUUGCCCCUUGAGAUUAGUGGCGGACGGGUGAGUAACACGUGGGCAACCUGCCUGUAAGACUGGGAUAACACCGGGAAACCGGUGCUAAUACCGGAUAAUUCCUUCCCUCACAUGAGGGAAAGCUGAAAGACGGCGCAAGCUGUCACUUACAGAUGGGCCCGCGGCGCAUUAGCUAGUUGGUGAGGUAACGGCUCACCAAGGCGACGAUGCGUAGCCGACCUGAGAGGGUGAUCGGCCACACUGGGACUGAGACACGGCCCAGACUCCUACGGGAGGCAGCAGUGGG
rnacentral:sRNA from 1 species